rnacentral:tRNA from 1 species
AAAGGGAGACCUAAUUCAGGUAUAAGACGAAAAAAAAGUAGUCCCUACCAGGAAUCAAUCCCAAAAGGUCGGAACGAGGUAUGAGGCUUUCAAACUAGGUUCUGGGUUCAUAAAAGACCUGAAUCAGGAACAAGGGCUAUUAGCUCAGGUGGUUAGAGCGCACCCCUGAUAAGGGUGAGGUCCCUGGUUCGAGUCCAGGAUGGCCCACCUGCACAGGUGGCAAAAACAAGAGAAGCGAGGAAUCAGCACCUUAUCUUAUAUACAUAUAUAAGAGAGAAUGCUGGCUCUGAGUACAGAGUCCAGAGGAACCUUGAAAACUGCAUAGAGCUAGGUGAAAAAGCCAAAAAAGAAGACCGCAAG